AUGUAUCAUUCGACUCUGGGUAAAACACCAUCCAUGGUGGUCUAUGGUCAGGAGCCGAGGCAGUUGGGCAUUACACCAGAGCAUGCAGCGCCACCCCUAGAACUAGAACAGUGGUUAGAUGAAAGACAGCAGAUGCAAGAUCUCCUUAGGCAACACCUGGUCAGGGCAAAGCAAAUUAUGAAGAGUCAAGCAGACAAGCACCAUUCAUGGCGUGAGUUUCAAAUGGGAGACCAAGCCUUUCUGAAGUUACAACCGUACAUUCAGACAUCGGUUGCUCGGCGUGCCAACCACAAGCUUAGUUUAAAGUUCUAUGGACCUUUCACGGUGAUCAGGCGCAUCAACGACGUCACCUACGAGCUCCAGCUGCUCGCCAAUUCAUGCAUCUUUCCGGUGUUUCAUGUGUCACAGCUGCGACACACUUUGCUUCCAGGUGCGAGCGCUUCCUCUCAUCUCCCUGCAGUUACUGACAAUCUCAACACUCCAGUGAAGAUUUUGGACCGGCGCUGGCACCGAAACUCGCGCAAGAUAAGGGAACAAGGUCUGGUCCGUUGGCAAGAUGAAGCAGCUACGCAAGAUACUUGGGAAGACAUGGAAGAUCUCAAGCGACGAUUUCCGCAGGCUCCGACUUGGGGUCAAGUCGGUUCUGAAGAAGGACAGGGUGUCAGCGACCUGACGAGGGAACCAGCAGCAGCCCAAGACACGGAGACGGGAAGCACAUGA
rnacentral:rRNA from 1 species